AUUGAAAGAGGGCGGAAGGAGGUACACAUGCAAGUCGAACGGUAACAGGUCUUCGGAUGCUGACGAGUGGCGAACGGGUGAGUAAUACAUCGGAACGUGCCCGAUCGUGGGGGAUAACGGAGCGAAAGCUUUGCUAAUACCGCAUACGAUCUACGGAUGAAAGCAGGGGACCGCAAGGCCUUGCGCGGACGGAGCGGCCGAUGGCAGAUUAGGUAGUUGGUGGGAUAAAAGCUUACCAAGCCGACGAUCUGUAGCUGGUCUGAGAGGACGACCAGCCACACUGGGACUGAGACACGGCCCAGACUCCUACGGGAGGCAGCAGUGGGGAAUUUUGGACAAUGGGCGAAAGCCUGAUCCAGCCAUGCCGCGUGCAGGAUGAAGGCCUUCGGGUUGUAAACUGCUUUUGUACGGAACGAAAAGACUCUUUCUAAUAAAGAGGGUCCAUGACGGUACCGUAAGAAUAAGCACCGGCUAACUACGUG
rnacentral:rRNA from 1 species